rnacentral:pre_miRNA from 1 species
GGGUUUGAAAGGAGAGCUCUGCUUCCUCAUACAUACCCAUCUUUUCUUGGAUAAGUAUCAGGAAAUGGAGCUCUUCUUCCACUCUU